AUUCGACCCAUUCAACUCGACCCUCAUGUAACCAUAUAAAGUACGAAGUCUGAAUCAUUGUUGAUCGGUGCCCUUCAAGCAAGAAAACUGAGUUCAACAAAGAAACUCCGACCUCAGACAGCGAAAAUCGGGCUUGCACUCACACACUUGCAACUUUUUGUGUAUGAACACAAAGUCGAACGAAAAUCGUGGUGAAAAAUGAGAAAAGGAAAAGAAAGACAAGGCCAACAAGAGCCAAAGCGUCAUUUUGUUAUUUUUUGUUGAAGUGUUUGGUCGCGUCGUGUCUCGUGUCGUUGUUUGUAUAAUGUUAGUUUAUUAAUUAUAAACAAUUUUAUUAAAUUAUAAACAAUAUGGAAAACAAAAAAGAUGUAAUCUCUAAUGAUGAUGAAAAAUCUAGAAGGUGAAACAUGCGAUUGGGUAUCUAAAAAACACCAACAACAGCAGCAGCAUCAAAUGAAAUAAAAUGAAAAAAAAUGUAUUGUAUUUUAUAUUGUAUUUAUUGUGAAAAUUUCGUUUGCCAAAAUAAAAUAAAAAAUAAAACAGUUUCAGUGAAAAAAAAAUAAA